CCUGGUGCUUAUAGCGCGGGGGAUACACCUCUUCCAUUCCGAACAGAGUCGUUAAGUCCCGCAGCGCCGAUGGUACUGCCUUAUGGUGGGAGAGUAGGUCGGUGCCAGGA
rnacentral:rRNA from 1 species